AAAAUAAAAGUAUCCAGCUUCUAUCGAAAAUAGUUACCUGAUUCAAAAAAUGUAUAUUUCAUCUGCUUUAAACACUGUCCAGACAAAUCAUCGGUGGAAAGCGGGGUAUGGUUAGGGGGUCACCGACAUUACCGUGAAGCCGCUUUAUUCUCAGCUGCCUUCUGCUGCCAGAACCUUUGACAGCUGACAUACUUCCAUCAUUGCUUCAGGGAGAAAUCAUGAAGUGCCAUCCAGAGAGACUCGGGGAAGUGCAAAGUGACAGCAGGGAGAGCAAACAUUGUCACACAGGCCCAGAGAGGCAACAGCUCUGCAGGAGUGGAGGAGUUCUAGCAACUUCUCUGCGUUUCAAUGGCACACACGCAGCGACUUAGAGAAACCACCCGGGGACGGUAAACGCUUAGCGAGGAAGGUGGUGUUUGCCUUGGCUGAUGCUCCAUGGUGAUGUGAACAAAACUCUGGGAUUUGAGGGAGGCCACCUGAUGCCUGGCAGACAUCGAAACCACUCCCAAGGUCCAUGUGUCUGGCAAACUCUUUCCCCGUCUCAGCAUUCAAAAUGGUAUUGUUCCCCAGUCCAGCACAACCCACAGCUAUACAUCAGUUUCCUGCAAGGUGAGUCAUGGUAACGUGAGAGCAUGGGGCACACAGCCCACGACAGAAAUUAUGUCAACUGCAUUUCCUUCUCCAAAACAGAUUAGGAGUCUCGGUGGCACUGAUCCAUUCAAACUCACUCUUCAUGCUGGAUGUCACGCACACACUGAUGGCCCCUGAGAUGCAGAGCCAAGCCCAGGGAGCCACUGGCCUUGUCCUUAUUUGCACAACUGACCUGCCUCGGCCCUUGGAGGAGGGAUGUGGCCAGGGGUGUUGUUCUCUGAGGGAUCUGUUGUUUUUUUCUAUCCAGUCAGGGGCUGCUGUUCUAGGCUUUCCACCGCUGAAUCUCAGUUUAGUCUCUCAAGGAUUUUUACUCUGUGGAUGUCCCUGUGCAACUUGCCUUCAUGGGAAUCAGAGUUGCUGCAUAGCGACAGAUAGACAACCCUCCCUGAAAAGCUGCCAGCCCAGGCUGGGGCUUUGAUAGCAGAAGAGGAGGCUGGAAACCAAGAGCCUGGGAGCCAGGCUCCUCUCCCUCCACCAGGACGGGCCUCUGUCCAAUCUACGCGAAUCUGAGAACAGCAGCCAUUCAGCCAACCAGGAGUUUAUUUCCAAAUGAGUCUUCCCACGACCUCGAUAGCAUCCCCAGGCGCAGCCCUGCAGCGGCACCAACCAGAAGCCGAGGGCCCUGCACCCUGGGCUGAGAGUCCCCAGCCACGGACUUAGCUUCCUACUGCCUUCCUUCCUAGACCAGGCUCCGAGGAGGAGAGCUGUGCUGUUGUCCACGCUUGGGCCUCAGCUGGCCAACAGGGAACUGUCUGGUUUUAGAGGAAUGCACAGUCACAAUAGGCCACCGCCUGGCCAGCUUCUUCCCAGAUGAGACUUUCAACAGCUACCUCUUGAAGCUGUGGCAGCUUCCCUCCUUAUGGCUUUCAUGUCACCUUCCCCUGUACCCCUGCCCUUCACAGACAGGUCUUACCCAGGCAAACCUUUCCAGGCCACCCCCAAACAAGCCCAAUCCCUGGUCUGUUUCCCUGGAGGCUUUCUCACAUCCCUCCCGUAUCGCCUGACUCCCGCUAUAGACAACAUGUUCCUGGAGAGCAAGGUCUGAACCAUGAUUUUUCUGUGAGCCUUUACACGUGGCAUAGUCCCCAAAUUAAAAUUUAAAAUUUCUUUAUUAACUGGUUUUUUUUUCGGAGACAGGAUCUCACUCUGUCACCCAGGCUGAUGUAUGGUAGUGCCAUCAUAGCUUACUGCAGCCUCCAGCUCCAGGGUUCAAGUGAUCCUCCUACCUCAGCCUCUCAGGUAGCUGGAACUAUAGGUGUAAGCCAUCACAACUGGCUGUAGGUAUUUGAAUUUACAUUCUUAAAAUAGCAUAGAAUAUGGAGUGAACAGUUUUGUAGGCUGCUUUUGCAUGAUUUUUAUCAUGCAAAACUAUAUGCUAAGCAUUUUACAUGUCAUUAGCAUUAAAACUAUUUGGCAACUGACAUCUUUGAACGACCAUCUUUGUACAAUUGUACAAUUAUUCCUAUAAGAAUAUUUUUUCUCACAAUUUCUAGCUUUGAUGUUAUGCUAAGAAAGGCCCAUUGUACCCAAAGGCUAUAACAUAUUUCUCUUAAAAUUUUCCUAGUACUCCUAUAGUUUUGUGUUUUACAUUGAAAUCAGCCUCCAAAAGUGCUGGGAUUACAGGCAUGAGCCACCGUGCCUGGCCAAAAUUUAAAAUGGAUUAAGCAUCUAAUAUGUAGUUGACAUUCUACACGUUUCAAAGAUACCAUUCUCGUGAUAAUCGUUUAAAUUUUAUCAUCACCAUUUUACAACUUCACUUUUAGGGAAGACCUGGAGCCAUUAAGUAAUUUGAGAUUUUGUGGAUAAUAAUCUAACUUUAAAAAUAUGAUUAUCCCAUUGUUCCAAACCUAAUUAUUGAGCAAUUAAUUUAUCCUUUUGUCACUAAUUCUAAAUAAGGCUAUUAUCAUAUGAAAAUUUCAAAAUUAACUAUGUUGCCCAGGCUGGUCUUGAGCUCCUGUACUCAAGCAGUGCUCCCUCCUCAGCCUCCAAAACUGCUGGCAUUACAGGCAUGAGCCAUUGUGCCUGGCCAAAAUUUAAAAUUUAUUAAGCAUCUAGUAUGUAGUUGACAUUCUACAUAUUUCAAAGAUGCCAUUCUUAUGACGAUCAUUUAAAUAUCAUCAUCACCAUUUUACAACUUCGCUUUUAGGGAAAACCUAGAAGGAGUAAGAAACUUGUGCAAGGCUGGGCGCUGUGGCUCACUCCUAUAAUCCCAGCAUGUUGGGAAGCUAAGGUGGGUGGAUCAGCUGAAGUCAGGAGUUCAAGACCAGCCUGGCCAACAUGGUGAAACCCCGUCUCUACUAAAAAUACAAAAAUUAGCCAGGCUUGGUGGCAGGCACCUGCAAUCCCAGCUACUGGAGAGACUGAGGCAGGAGAAAAGCUUGAACCUGGGGAGGUGGGGGUUGCAGUGAGCCGAGAUCAUGCCAUUGUACUCCAGCCUGGGCGACAAGAGUGAAACUUUCUCUCAAAAAUAUAUUAAAAAAAAGAAACUUGUGCAAAAUCACAUUAGUGAUCAACUGAUUCCAGAGAAGGACAUUGCCAUUAACAGUCUGAAUUACACAUAGUAGGUGCUCAGUAAGUGGCUAAGUUGAGAAGUAGAUGCAAAAAUGCAUUUAAAUAUUAUCUCCCUGCCACGUACUCUGCAUCUCUUUAAUAUAAAUUUUCUCAAUUUUAGGGAAAUAUGCAAAGGGACUGAAAUGGCUGAGAUAUGGUUACAUAAUGACUGUUUAACAAUGUCAGGUAUAAGAUGGUUUUUCUUAAUGCUGAUGAACAGCUUUCUCUCUCACAGAGGAAUAAACAAGUGGGAACAGUUGUUCAUUGAAGCAGGAAAAAAUUACUCUCAACGAGCUCGACCACGGAAGUGAGAUGUGAGAUUUUAGCAUCUCCAUCUCAGGAGGUUUUUGAAGCAGAGAAUGCAGAAACCAGCUGUCCUGGAUGGAUGAGUCAUCCAGCAGGUCCUGGUGUCCGUGGGGCUUAAGCAAUGUGCUCAUAAGAGGCCACCUUCGAGAGGGGUCAUUCAUCCUUCAUCGUAGGUGUCCCCAGGCCUGGAGUAGCGGGCCUCUUUUUUGAAAACACUGGGGCUUAUUGCAAAAAUGGAAUUUCACACUCAACCACAGAAAAUGCCUGGUUGCCAUUAGACAGGUUGGCUCUGGACAAAAUUGAGAUGUAGUAUUUCACAUUUGUCUUGAAUUGUUCAUCUUCCCUUUUCUCCAAGCCUGUUCCUAUACCCUCCUCUUUUGACUCCCCCCUUUCUCUUCUCAUUCUUUCCUUUGAUCAAAUUCUUCCCCACAAGCGGUUUUUGCUCCUUCUGCAUGUGUACUGUGCACACAAUAAGUGCCUUUGAAGUAUCCGCCCUCCAGAGCUCCUCUGGCCUUGUGGUCACGUGAAACACAGAUCCUGGUCCUGAUGCAGGUAGGUGGGCAUAACACCCUCCUCAAAACCUACCAGCCUCAUCUGUGACGUGGGAUUCCUACCACGAACCCAUCUCCAUGGAUGCUUUUAGUCCUUUUAAAGUUGGCUUCCAUGAGAUGACAGCCGUGCUGGGGAACUGACCUCAGUACCACGUCUCGCACGUGCAGCAUCAAGCACCCUUGUUACACCCGAGGAAAAUGAAAAUACACACCUUUCUCUCUCUGGUAACAAUUUUAUUUUCAAGGCAAUUGUUAUUCAUUAAUCUCUACUUUUAUGAGUAGUGGCUUACAUGAAUCAGUAAUCAAAUUUAUAAGAGAAUAUACAAAGACUUCAUCAGAAGCUUUUAUCCUGCGCUGAGAUCAUAGUUAAAUACUGUCACAAAAGUGAAUAGUUUGAGGCUGAUCUGGUAACGACUGUGUUCACAUUUUAAAGUGAGUUUAUCUAAUGAUGAAUGGUUACGUUUUUUAAAGCAGGGAAGAUAAGAGGUGUGUCUGCUGCUACAAGCAGGCGCCAGGCUCUUAAGAGAGGGCCCCCUUUUUCCCCGCCCAUGUCACUGUGGCACGUUCUAAAACUAAUGCAGAGUGGAUGCAUUUCGUCAGAUUGUGUGGGACCUUCCUGAAAUAGCAAUUGAAGUUAGUUAUGAAAAGUCUCACUCUAACCUAUGCAUGCGUGGAUCCAGUUAUGAGAAACCACCACUGAGAUUGUUCCUCUGGUUUCUUGUGUCUCUCUUUCUCCCGCCAUGGGGCUCUACAGACACAAAUUACCACAGGACUCAGCAAUGAGACAGAUGAGUAGAAACACAAAGCCAGAAGCUGAGAGUUGUUAGUGAUAAAUCACUGUUCUACCCUCCCUGUUAUGACUUUGAAUUUGUAACAUCUUUAUACAGGCAAGUCCCAGCUAGGAAAAGUUUAAUUAUUUAUAGCUCUGCUAGAUACAAUUUUUAUAAGACGUGAGCGUAUGUAUAAGUACUCUGUAGUCAAUAAAGCAAAUAAGGUAAUAUCAGGAUGAAUGUGAUGUAAAAGGGCUUUAUUAUAGUUUAGAGAGAGAGGCAUUCUUCAUAUUUAACCAAAGUCCACUGUCUGCUAUGAACUGAGUCUCUGAAAGCUCAUCUUCCCAGCACAGCAACAACCCAACAUGAAACUGAGUUAGAACAAGCAUCUAGUGGCACAAGAGAAAUGUGGACUUAGAGCAAAGCAAAGUACAGAAUUUUAAGUACAGCAAAACUGGUAAUCCCUUCCUGGGUCACAGCUAUUGCCUGAAUUGACGAUACCAAUUCUUUCAACCAAGUUGAUCUGCACAUCCCAAUGUCUAAAUGAUGGCUUCUUGCUUUUUGAUUAUUUAGUAAUGUGUUGCAAAACAUUGCUAUUGGAAUCUUUGAUAUUAUUUUCAGCGAUUAUUGAGCCCUCCUGAUUAAGCAUUCUAUAUAUUCUACUAUUUCUGAAAAUAAAUUUUUUUUAAAUGGUCAGCAUCAUUUGAUUUGGAAGUUCUACUUUGAAAA
rnacentral:lncRNA from 10 species